UACGUAGGGUACAAGCAUUAAUCGGAAUUAUUGGGCGUAAAGGGCGCGUAGGCGGGGAUGUAAGUCAGGUGUGAAAUACCAAAGCUCAACUUUGGUGCUGCAUUUGAAACUGCAUUUCUUGAGGACUGACGGAGAAAGCGGAAUUCCAUGAGUAGCGGUGAAAUGCGUAGAUACAUGGAGGAACACCGGUGGCGAAAGCGGCUUUCUAGUUUUUACCUGACGCUGAGGCGCGAGAGCAAGGGGAGCAAACAGG
rnacentral:rRNA from 1 species